rnacentral:rRNA from 1 species
AUUGAACGCUAGCGGCAGGCCUAACACAUGCAAGUCGAACGAGCGGCGGACGGGUGAGUAAUGUCUGGGAAACUGCCUGAAGGAGGGGGAUAACUACUGGAAACGGGAGCUAAUACCGCAUACCAUCGGAUGUGCCCAGAUGGGAUGAGAUCGUCGGUGGGGUAACGGCUCAACUAGGCGACGAGCCCUAGCUGGUCUGAGAGGAUGACCAGCCACAGUGGAACUGAGACACGGUCCAGACUCCGACGGGAGGCAGCAGUGGUGAAUAUUGCACAAUGGGCUCAAGCCUGAUGCAGCUAUGCCGCGUGUAUGAAGAAGGCCUUCGGGUUGUAAAGUACUUGCAGCGGGGAGGCGUUACCCGCAGAAGAAGCACCGGCUAACUCCGUGCCAGAAGCCGCGGUAAUUC